rnacentral:lncRNA from 1 species
CCAGGAAUUAUAUGAACUAGUAAUUAGGGAUAAGCUUAUUCACCGAGGGAUCAGGUUUAGGUAAUUUAGUGAGAGACGUUGGCAUUAAUGCAUAAAGAAAAAUUCUUAUAUACAUGAGAGGGAACUUGGUGAAAUCUAACCCCAAGAACGUAUCCAUCUCAUAUAAAUCAACCUCCGUUCAUCUAUGUGCUCCUUUGCCACUGAUCAAUUGCAUUUUUAUUCUAUCUAUUAUUUUUGCACCCAAACCCAAUGAUCUCUUUUAUUUUAAGUCUUAAUUAAUCUUGUUAUCACACAACUGUUCAGUGCCGAGAGUCCUCUGGGAUACGAUACUUGGUCUUACCAUUUUAUAUUACUUGUGCGAUUCGGUACACUUGCUGAUUUGUCCCAAGAAGUUUUUGGCACCGUUCUCGGGGACUCACGGUUUAAGCUAUUCUAUUUGUGUGAUUCUUGAUCAACUUUGACUUUAUUUUAUUUUAUUUUUCCAUAUUUUAUUUUUAUUUUUCUUUUUC